CCUACGGGGGGCAGCAGUGAGGAAUAUUGGUCAAUGGACGGAAGUCUGAACCAGCCAUGCCGCGUGCAGGAAGACGGCUCUAUGAGUUGUAAACUGCUUUUGUACAAGGGUAAACCUGAAUACGUGUAUUUAGCUGAAAGUACUGUACGAAUAAGGAUCGGCUAACUCCGUGCCAGCAGCCGCGGUAAUACGGAGGAUCCAAGCGUUAUCCGGAUUUAUUGGGUUUAAAGGGUGCGUAGGCGGAUUGAUAAGUUAGAGGUGAAAUGUCCGGGCUUAACUCGGGAACUGCCUCUAAUACUGUGGAUGUAGAGAGUAGGUGCGGUAGGCGGAAUGUGUGGUGUAGCGGUGAAAUGCUUAGAGAUCAUACAGAACACCGAUUGCGAAGGCAGCUUACCAAUCUAUAUCUGACGUUGAGGCACGAAAGCGUGGGGAGCGAACAGGAUUAGAUACCCCAGUAGUC
rnacentral:rRNA from 1 species